rnacentral:rRNA from 1 species
AUUGAACGCUGGCGGCAGGCUUAACACAUGCAAGUCGAGCGGGGUGAUGGUGCUUGCACUAUCACUUAGCGGCGGACGGGUGAGUAAUGCUUAGGAAUCUGCCUAUUAGUGGGGGACAACAUCUCGAAAGGGAUGCUAAUACCGCAUACGUCCUACGAGAGAAAGCAGGGGAUCACUUGUGACCUUGCGCUAAUAGAUGAGACUAAGUCGGAUUAGCUAAUUGGUGGGGUAAAGGCCUACCAAGGCGACGAUCUGUAGCGGGUCUGAGAGGAUGAUCCGCCACACUGGGACUGAGACACGGCCCAAACUCCUACGGGAGGCAGCAGUGGGGAAUAUUGGACAAUGGGGGGAACCCUGAUCCAGCCAUGCCGCGUGUGUGAAGAAGGCCUUAUGGUUGUAAAGCACUUUAAGCGAGGAGGAGGCUCUUUUGGUUAAUACCCAAGAUGAGUGGACGUUACUCGCAGAAUAAGCACCGGCUAACUCUGUGCCAGCCGCCGCGGUAA